rnacentral:rRNA from 1 species
GCCCAAACUCCUACGGGAGGCUGCAGUAGGGAAUUUUCCGCAAUGCACGAAAGUGUGACGGAGCGACGCCGCGUGUGUGAUGAAGGCUUUCGGGUCGUAAAGCACUGUUGUAAGGGAAGAAUAACUGAAUUCAGAGAAAGUUUUCAGCUUGACGGUACCUUACCAGAAAGGGAUGGCUAAAUACGUGCCAGCAGCCGCGGUAAUACGUAUGUCCCGAGCGUUAUCCGGAUUUAUUGGGCGUAAAGCGAGCGCAGACGGUUUAUUAAGUCUGAUGUGAAAUCCCGAGGCCCAACCUCGGAACUGCAUUGGAAACUGAUUUACUUGAGUGCGAUAGAGGCAAGUGGAACUCCAUGUGUAGCGGUGAAAUGCGUAGAUAUGUGGAAGAACACCAGUGGCGAAAGCGGCUUGCUAGAUCGUAACUGACGUUGAGGCUCGAAAGUAUGGGUAGCAAACGGGAUUAGAUACCCCGGUAGUCCAUACCGUAAACGAUGGGUGCUAGUUGUUAAGAGGUUUCCGCCUCCUAGUGACGUAGCAAACGCAUUAAGCACCCCGCCUGAGGAGUACGGCCGCAAGGCUAAAACUUAAAGGAAUUGACGGGGACCCGCACAAGCGGUGGAGCAUGUGGUUUAAUUCGAAGAUACGCGAAAAACCUUACCAGGUCUUGACAUACCAAUGAUCGCUUUUGUAAUGAAAGCUUUUCUUCGGAACAUUGGAUACAGGUGGUGCAUGGUCGUCGUCAGCUCGUGUCGUGAGAUGUUGGGUUAAGUCCCGCAACGAGCGCAACCCUUGUUAUUAGUUGCCAGCAUUUAGUUGGGCACUCUAAUGAGACUGCCGGUGAUAAACCGGAGGAAGGUGGGGACGACGUCAGAUCAUCAUGCCCCUUAUGACCUGGGCAACACACGUGCUACAAUGGGAAGUACAACGAGUCGCAAACCGGCGACGGCAAGCUAAUCUCUUAAAACUUCUCUCAGUUCGGACUGGAGUCUGCAACUCGACUCCACGAAGGCGGAAUCGCUAGUAAUCGCGAAUCAGCAUGUCGCGGUGAAUACGUUCCCGGGUCUUGUACACACCGCCCGUCAAAUCAUGGGAGUCGGAAGUACCCAAAGUCGCUUGGCUAACUUUUAGAGGCCGGUGCCUAAGGUAAAAUCGAUGACUGGGAUUAAGUCGUAACAAGGUAGCCGUAGGAGAACCUGCGGCUGGAUCACCUCCUUUCUAAGGA